rnacentral:rRNA from 1 species
AUUGAACGCUGGCGGCAGGCCUAACACAUGCAAGUCGAGCGGAUGACGGGAGCUUGCUCCUUGAUUCAGCGGCGGACGGGUGAGUAAUGCCUAGGAAUCUGCCUGGUAGUGGGGGACAACGUUUCGAAAGGAACGCUAAUACCGCAUACGUCCUACGGGAGAAAGCAGGGGACCUUCGGGCCUUGCGCUAUCAGAUGAGCCUAGGUCGGAUUAGCUAGUUGAGGGGGUAAUGGCGCACCAAGGCGACGAUCCGUAACGGGUCUGAGAGGAUGAUCAGUCAAAGUGGAACUGAGACACGGUCCAGAGUCCCACGGGAGGCAGCAGUGGGGAAUAUUGGACAAUGGGCGAAAGCCUGAUCCAGCCAUGCCGCGUGUGUGAAGAAGGUCUUCGGAUGGUAAAGCACUUUAAGUUGGGAGGAAGGGCAGUAAGUUAAUACCUUGCUGUUUUGACGUUACCGACAGAAUAAGCACCGGCUAACUCUGUGCCAGCCGCCGCAGUAA